rnacentral:rRNA from 1 species
UACGAAGGGUGCAAACGUUGCUCGGAAUUAUUGGGCGUAAAGCGCACGUAGGCGGCCCAGCAAGUCGGAAGUGAAAUCCCACGGCUCAACCAUGGAAGUGCUUUCGAAACUGCUGGGCUUGAGUACAAAAGAGGAUCGCGGAAUUCCCGGUGUAGAGGUGAAAUUCGUAGAUAUCGGGAGGAACACCAGUGGCGAAGGCGGCAUCCUGGACCAACACUGACGCUGAGGGAGCGAAAGCCAGGGGAGCAAACGGG